AUGUAGUAUAAGUAAUUGCCAAUUUCGGUCGACAAUCUUAACUUAGGUACUACUAAAGGGUGUAGUACACUCUACAACAAUAUAACGCCCAUUGGGGCUUAUCUUGUUCCCAAACAAUGUUCGCAAUGUAGCAUAAAUUUCAUUUCUUUAGUUAAUGCUCUCUUAUCGCUUCUUUUCUGUCGUGAUCACUUGCCAUUCCCGGCCAGAACGUAGCGGGCGUACAGCGUUAAAGAAAUGUAAGACGGAUGAAUAAAAGAAAUUAUGGGGUUUCACGUGCCAAAACCACUUUCUGAUUAUGCGGCACGCCGUAGUGGAGGACUCCGGAAAUUUCGACCACCUGGGGUUCUUUACCGCGCACCUAAAUCUACGUACACGGGUGUUUUCUCCCCCAUCGAAAUGUGGACACCGUAGCCGGGAUUCGAACCCGCGACCUCGUGCUCAGCAGCCCAAUACCAUAGCCACUGAGCAACCACAGUGGGUAAAUGACGAUUAUUGUUGAGGGGAAAUGCUGAGGAUAAGAUAAGCCUCGACAGGCGCAAGCGCUUAUCUGUAGCAGCACAUUAAAAUUGUUCAAUUGAAGGACAUGCAAGAGCCUAAAAGAGCAUAAAAUAGCCAACCUAUCUCACGCUGCGUGAAGCUACAUUGUGGACCCUGAAUUAAAUACCAGUAUUCUGCCAUGAGCAGGAUAAAUUGUAAUUCUACACUAAUUCGCAUUGAGUGAUUUAUACACCGCGCGAACGAUGUUCAUGUUCUUGUUUUUUACAACCAUGAGUGUCAAGUGUAGUGGUCUUUGCGCAUGGCGUAAGCGAUAUUUUUCUCGAGAAGGAAGAAAACCUGGCGUCCAGACGCAGAUAAGUCGCUGAUAAACUGGAUCCGUUUCCAUGGCGUUUGCGGUUCUCUCUCUUUUUUUUUUUAUAACCUUCUGACCAAUGAGAACACUGGCAAGACCAGAUAUUGCGAGACUUUCGCGCUUUCGUGGAAAGAUACAAUGUGCUUAGUUUGCACAAAUAAGCAAGCUACUGAGAUAAGCGAGAAGUGACGGCGGUCUUUCUCUGCUCUUCUACUUCACAAUAGGCACCUUUACUUGGGCGUCCCGAACCAUGCACGCACGUACGCAGCGCGCGAUUUCGUACGUACGCAACGAAGCGCACAAGCACGCGCAGUAUUGCGUACAGCGUGGCAAUAGUUGGCAGUAGCUGGCCGGGCGCUAAAGUUGAGGAGGGUCUUCAAAGAGAAAGAAAUUCAACAAGAGGAGACGCUCGGCGGAAACUGACAACAGGAAACACGUCACGCCUGGUGUUAAUCCCAUGCGUUAGUUGACGCGAGCAUCGAAAAAAAGAAACAAUGUCAAGUGAACUUACAGACGUUUUAUUUUUUUAUUCUUUCUGGCUAAAGCUAACAAGGUUUGCCUAUAAAUGAACUUAUACUUUGAGAAUUAUUUUUCUUGCGUUAUCUAGCAACAAGCUAGCGGCACGCCAGACGCGCCAAAUUCAUGAGUCAUGAGCCAGACGCGCCACCGAAGCGAGCGAGGCCGUCUGCGCAUGCGAAGUUCGCCUUUUCGGCGACCCGUUUCUUUUGGACGUAGGCUGGUUGUUGGGCUGCCGGCGUAUUCUUGCGUUCCUUGCGCACUUCGACACUGCGCUAUUGGACAAGGCAAAGCCGAGGCCGUCUGGUGGAGCUUCGUACGAGAACUACUGCUGCUUAUGUGGUGCCAAAACGUUGGAUGAAUGCACGAAAAGCCCAGAACAAACAUUUGUGUAAAGUAAAGAUUUCCUGAUUUACAAGG